rnacentral:rRNA from 1 species
GGACUACCGGGGUAUCUAAUCCCGUUUGCUCCCCUGGCUUUCGCGCCUCAGCGUCAGGAGGGGUCCAGCACGCCGCUUUCGCCACCGGCGUUCCUUCCGAUAUCUACGCAUUUCACCGCUCCACCGGAAGUUCCGCAUGCCCCUACCCCCCUCGAGCCCCGCAGUAUCGGAAGCACUUGUCCGGUUAGGCCGAACGAUUUCACCCCCGACUUGCGAAGCCGCCUACGCGCCCUUUAAGCCCAGUGAAUCCGAACAACGUUCGCACGGUUCGUCUUACCGCGGCUGCUGGCAC